rnacentral:rRNA from 1 species
UACGUAGGGUGCGAGCGUUGUCCGGAAUUAUUGGGCGUAAAGAGCUCGUAGGCGGCUUGUCGCGUCGGAUGUGAAAGCCCGGGGCUUAACUCCGGGUCUGCAUUCGAUACGGGCAGGCUAGAGUUCGGUAGGGGAGAUCGGAAUUCCUGGUGUAGCGGUGAAAUGCGCAGAUAUCAGGAGGAACACCGGUGGCGAAGGCGGUCUGCUGGGCCAAGACUGACGCUGAGGCGCGACAGCGUGGGGAGCAAACAGG